UUUUUUAUUAAAAAAAAAUUUACAGAGAAUAAAUGAGAUAUGGGGCAUAUUUUGUCUAUUUGAUAUACUAAAGUUUAGUUUGAUAUUGAGGUUCAUUUGAUACUAUUAGAUAAAAUAGAGUUGGAAUAAAAGCAUAUAGAGAUAUACUUUUGCGUUCUCCAAUAAAACUACAGAAAAUAUAUCGUAACCUACUCAAUGCGAUAUUACGUACGAAAACAAAUAUGAUAUUUUUCCAUCAUAUUUUCUCACGUUACGUACUUUCCGUAAUUCUAAACAAAGUCUAAUUUUAAGAAUUUUAAUUAGUUUAUAUACGUAGUCAGAGGCAAACAAACGA
rnacentral:lncRNA from 1 species